rnacentral:snoRNA from 1 species
AUCCUUUUGUCUCGUGUUCGUGUGAUAUGUGCCUCCUUCAAAUCUUGUUACGCAGUUGGCACAAUACCCAUCUGACA